GGGGGUCCCCCCCCCCCCCCCAGCACAGCGUCUGUGCAGAAGUGAAGGGUCAGCAGAGGGAGGAUUCUGAGGUAUCUGCCGUUCAGGUAUGACCCACUGCAAAUACACUUCAACAGGUACAGGAUCACUGCAUGGCCCAUAUCCUACACAAUGCACUUGACACGACGCGCAAAGCAGUAAAGGAGAAGAAAAUAACAAAGGUAAAUGGGCAUUUGCAACUCUGCCCUCCUUCCAGUCUGGACAUCUUUGUUUAAACUUUGACUUGGCUUAAAUGAAGGAAUUAAUAUUGACAAAAACAUCAACUAAGCUAAUGAGUUGUUAGUUAAAGCAAUAAACAUGCCACAUUAGA